CCCCUCUCAGGGUCACAUCUGGAGAGUUUCCAGUAUUCUACCAGUCUCGGCUAUGAGAGAGAGUCAAGCAGAAGCAUCUACUUCAUUCCUAGCUUGAGCAGUGGCUAGUGAGUGGAAGGCAAUCUGCUACAAGU
rnacentral:snoRNA from 1 species